AUACAAUGAUGGGACACCUUCUCAGCAAUUAUUUGUAUCUUUCCCAAGCUUCAUGCAAGGAUUCUCCUUCCUGCUACACAAAGAAUGUAAUUUCUCCCCUUAGCUU